UCACAUGAUGAGAUUCAGGAUAUAGGAAGUGCCGUCAGAUGCGAUAACUGAUGAGAACUUUCCUGCUCUGAGU